ensembl:lncRNA
GUGAAUUCCAGCUGAAAGUGGAACAUUGCUGCCAUCAGGGGAAAUUAAUGUAACCUAGGCAUAUUGUGUUGCUACCUGGAGUAGGUUUUCUGCAAUGUACAAAAAAAGCUUUCUGCACCAUGUACACCAUUGACACCUGCCUUGGAUGUGGACGAAUAUAUAAAAACUGCACACCAGGAUAUUUUGGGACAGGAAAAAGGGGAGUACUAGAAGCAAUCUAUUCUGAAGCCGAAGAUCCGGGAUAGGGCAAUCACUUCUGCAGCCAAUUGCAAUAGAUGUCCCUCUUGCCUGUCCUCCAGCCCCUGCACGUCGAGAGGAGCAGACACCCGUUUGUGCCCAGAGGACAUUACUCACAUGUUGGACUUUCAAAUGUACUUUUGAGAAUACUUUGCAAAAUCUCA